AUUGAACGCUGGCGGCAUGCCUUACACAUGCAAGUCGAACGGUAACGGGCCUUCGGGUGCCGACGAGUGGCGAACGGGUGAGUAAUGCAUCGGAACGUACCUUUCAGUGGGGGAUAACGUAGCGAAAGUUACGCUAAUACCGCAUAUUCUGUGCGCAGGCAAGCAGGGGAUCGCAAGACCUUGCGCCGAUUGAGCGGCCGAUGUCAGAUUAGCUAGUUGGUGAGGUAAAGGCUCACCAAGGCGCCGAUCUGUAGCGGGUCUGGGAGGAUGAUCCGCCACACUGGAACUGAGACACGGUCCAGACUCCUACGGGAGGCAGCAGUGGGGAAUUUUGGACAAUGGGGGCAACCCUGAUCCAGCCAUGCCGCGUGAGUGAAGAAGGCCUUCGGGUUGUAAAGCUCUUUCGGCCGGGAAGAAAUCGCAUGGGUUAAUACCCUGUGCGGAUGACGGUACCGGCAUAAGAAGCACCGGCUAACUACGUGCCAGCCGCCGCGGUAACAC
rnacentral:rRNA from 1 species